GGCAUUGUCCCAAGAUUGGAAUGAAUUGUUCUAAGAACUGUGGGGAGAGCAUAUCUGAAAUCACUCCUUUAGAAGCUGCUGGAGGCUUGGGACCAUGGAACGGUAAAAUGUCAACUUGAAGGAAAUUAAGGGAUUCAAACCAUGAGCUUGACCUUAGAGAGAGAAGGCUGAUUCCUGAGUGACGCCAGUGGAGGGAACCACAGCCACAGUGGAUCUAGGCAGAGGAAACUAUCUGAGCACAAAGCUUCAGAGGUUCCCAAACCAGCUGAAAGCUGAAACAAGAAAGAGCAGGACAGAUAGGUCUUCAUUCCAGUGUACAGGUGACAGGUCAUGUGUGUUCUCUGAAAGCCAUUGAGCCAAUGUCACAUAGUGGUUUACAUCUGACCUUGGAAGCAGACUGUGAAGGGUCACAAUGCUGAUCCUGUCACUUCCCACUGCGUGAACUCCGGAAUCUCAUCUCUGAGAUUCAACUCUCUGAGCCUCAUCUGCAAAAUGGGGCUAGAACCCAACUCCCAAGGUUGUGUGAAGAGUCAAUGAGCAAGUACAAGCCCACCUGGCACACAGGGAAGGCUCGACUAUAGAGCUCCUGUUACUCCUACCCCAUGAGCCUCUGGGAGGAGCAUAUGAGACACUACAUCUGUAAACAUCUGUGAAGACUGCAAACCGCCAUGCAAUCUCAAGGGGUCGUCAGUUUGUUUAAUUCUCCAUGAGACCUACCUCCAUAGUUCAUCAGAGGUCUGGACAAAAUCUCAAACCACAGUGGAAAGGAGUGCUCCUUCUGUAUCCGGAUGGGUACCUACAACUUGUGUUUUCAGGAACUUGGAGGACAAAGUGACUUCUUUGAACGCAUCUGGUCAGCUUAUUUAGGCUAAUAGCAUGAUGCCGCAGAAAAAGCAUGAGCUUCGAUGCCAAAGAGAAGAGGAACAGAAUCUCGGAUCUGCCCACUUUGUGUCCUGGAGCACAGAUAGACUACAAACUUCAUCAAGGCGGUUGUACCCAUUUUGGAGUGCAUUCAGCUACAAGUAACAGAAACUUGACAGUGGCUUCAACAAAUAAGGAUUCACUUUUGUCAUCUAAAAAAGAAGUACAGAGGUAGUGGCUGCUGGUAAUGUUUCAGAACCUCAACAAUGUCACAAUGUCUCUUUGACUCUUUUGGUCUUUUCUUCAUGGGUUCAAGAUAGCUGUUGCAGCUCCAGCCAUCAUAUCCAAAUUAAAGCCAGAAGAAAGGAA
rnacentral:lncRNA from 1 species